ACUUGGGACGGGUUCGGCCCAAUGGCCCAAACCCUCAACCAAAGUUAGAAAACCCUAGUGCGUUCUUCUCCACCUCCAUAAUACCUAAACUUCUAUCUCUAUGUUUCAAACAUGUGCAUCUCUCACACACACUUACCCCGCGCCGGAGACGGCGAAGCCGAUGGCCCACGGUGGCUGCCACCUCCUCCUCCUUGCGAGCAACCCCCAGAAAAAAAAAUCCAAAGGGGUACCCCUAAUUUUUCCUCCUAGAUCUAAAUCCGGACUCCGCUUUCUUAAAAACUCACGGAAAAAUCCGGAUCGGAGGUCAUAACUCUUUGAACCAAAAAUCUCACAAAAAGCUAAUAUAAACCUUAAUAAUUCCUCCACUUAGCAUGGAUUUACAAACAAAUCAACAAAUAAUCACACAUAACAAACUAAGUCACUUAGCCCCAAAUUAAGCUGUACCCUAUUUUCAUUGAUCUUAUAGCAUACAAGUUACAAAUGGAGUGAAUAAAGCUAAAGGAAAAUGAGGAAAUUAAAGCAACACAAUAAUAAAUUGAGAAUAAUGUAGGUCUACUGACUUUGAGCUCUUCAAGUGAGUUCCGGGGGCUUAGCUCUAAGACCUUAAAGCUUUAAUGUGAAGCUUAGAGGACUCAAAUUCAGAGAGCUUUAUGUAUAGUUUGGUGAGAAUUUUGCAGAGUUCCACUAGGGCAGCUAUUAUGUGUUUGAGAGUGAAGUAGAGAGGUGUUAUAUAGGUGUGAAAGAUGGAAUUUAUGAGGGAAUUCAGAGUUGGUUAGAGAUAAUUUGCAGAGGAAGUUUCUACAAUCCGUGUGAGAGUUUUAUUAUCAAGGGUGUGGAUUGAUUUCAAAUGAAUUUGAGUUGGUUUUGUUGGAAUGAAAUUGAGAUUGUAGUGAAAAUUAUUGGGUGAUAAACGAGUCAGGUUUUAUGGUCAUGAGUUUCUUAUGUAUGUGUGUUAUGUAUGUGUAUCAUGUAUGGUGUAAUUGAUAACCAAAUUCUCUUUUUGUUUUUUCAUGUGGAAUGAUAUGGUAUGGAGCAUGAUGGAUAGAGGGAUGAUGGUGAGGAGAGGUAACAUGAAUAUCUCGUGUGGGAAGCUGCAAACAAAUGCAGACUUUUUGAUCUUAAUUUUUUGUAUUUUCACAAUUUUUGUAAAGUGUGUAAUAAUGUAAAUAAAAACAACUUUAGUUUUAA